rnacentral:tRNA from 1 species
GCCUCUAUAGCAUAGUGGUAGUCCGUUUGCUUCGUAAGCAAAAGGUUGUGAGUUCAUUCCUCACUAGGGGCU